rnacentral:tRNA from 1 species
GGUGGUAUAGCUAAGUGGUAAGGCCAAGAAUUGCAAAUUCUUCAUCCCCAGUUCGAGUCUGGGUACCACCU